CGGAUGAGUUCCGUGCGCAAGCAAACAGACCUAGAGCUGCGCGAGGCGGACAUGUUGCUUCACUGUUGAGUGAAACUUAGCCGAGUAAAGUACUGUAUUUCCGUUUCAUUUGUGUCGCCGUUUGGAACAGCUAUUAGGUGAAUAAUCGUGGAAAAAGUCUACUGGAUACAGAUAAAUCGAACAAAGCAACACGUUGCUCGAUUUCGGGUGGAUUAAAUUCAUCACAGUUGUUAAAAUUGCGAAAAGGUGAGUCAAAUUGCGUAUGGAAAUCGUCAUAUAGAGCUACUAAGAAAAAUUGUUCCAUAAUUUUAAUCAGAGCAACGGCUCCAGCCGGGUGACGUCUUCAGAGAACCCCCAUUGAACUGACAGGAGCCAACAUAUCGGGUAUCCCACUGACAUUUUCCCCUUGUUUUCAUAUGAAUUGGGUAUCCCACUGACAGUUCUGCUUGAGAUUUUGCUAACGAUCCUAGCAUCAAUCAUAGCUCCCGGCUGAACGGCUCUAAAUAACAACAACAAUCGAGCGUAGUA